rnacentral:rRNA from 1 species
GAUGAACGCUGGCGGCGUGCCUAAUACAUGCAAGUCGAGCGAACAGACGAGGAGCUUGCUCCUCUGACGUUAGCGGCGGACGGGUGAGUAACACGUGGAUAACCUACCUAUAAGACUGGGAUAACUUCGGGAAACCGGAGCUAAUACCGGAUAAUAUAUUGAACCGCAUGGUUCAAUAGUGAAAGACGGUUUUGCUGUCCCUUAUAGAUGGAUCCGCGCCGCAUUAGCUAGUUGGUAAGGUAACGGCUUACCAAGGCAACGAUGCGUAGCCGACCUGAGAGGGUGAUCGGCCAAACUGGAACUGAGACACGGUCCAGACUCCUACGGGAGGCAGCAGUAGGGAAUCUUCCGCAAUGGGCGAAAGCUUGACGGAGCAACGCCGCGUGAGUGAUGAAGGUCUUCGGAUCGUAAAACUCUGUUAUUAGGGAAGAACAAAUGUGUAAGUAACUAUGCACGUCUUGACGGUACCUAAUCAGAAAGCCACGGCUAACUACGUG